UACGGGGGGGGCAAGCGUUGUUCGGAAUUACUGGGCGUAAAGGGCUCGUAGGUGGCCAACUAAGUCAGACGUGAAAUCCCUCGGCUUAACCGGGGAACUGCGUCUGAUACUGGAUGGCUAGAGUUUGGGAGAGGGAUGCGGAAUUCCAGGUGUAGCGGUGAAAUGCGUAGAUAUCGGGAGGAACACCAGUGGCGAAGGCGGCUUCCUGGACCAGCACUGACGCUGAUGCGCGAAAGCGUGGGGAGCAAACAGG
rnacentral:rRNA from 1 species